AUCGAGGUUAAAGGUACCCGUACCGCAAACCGACACAGGUGGGUGAGGAGAGUAUCCUAAGGCCAGCGAGAGAACUGUUGUUAAGGAACUCGGCAAAAUGACCCCGUAACUUAGGGAUAAGGGGUGCCACCAUCAGGUGGCCGCAGCGAAUAGGCCCAAGCGACUGUUUACCAAAAACAUAGGUUUCUGCUAAGUCGCAAGACGAUGUAUAGGAGCUGACGCCUGCCCGGUGCUGGAAGGUUAAGGGGAGCUGUUAGAGCAAUCGAAGCAGUGAACUUAAGCCCCAGUAAACGGCGGCCGUAACUAUAACGGUCCUAAGGUAGCGAAAUUCCUUGUCGGGUAAGUUCCGACCCGCACGAAAGGCGUAACGAUUUGGGCACUGUCUCA
rnacentral:rRNA from 1 species